GUGGCACAAGUGGGCRUGUCGACGGCGACUCAGACAAGACCAUGUCCACACAUGAGCAGUCACGAAUUGGUGUGUCCCACGGGAUCCUUGCCUCUCGCAAUCAACCACUGAAGAGGCCAUCCUUCUUAGUCCURUGCUCUUUCGUAUCUUUAGGCCAUCCUUUUGUCCUGUGCAUUGCGUGUGCCAUAUACCCGGCUCUGUAGGAAGUCAGCGAACCCCAUGUGCCAGUUCACCUCACCACCUCGAGCGGGAGGCACAACCACAAUGUGGUCGUCGCGCGCACCUUAACGACACAACCCCUGGGCCCCGUGCUAGCUGGGCUCCURAAGUAUCGCAAGCUCUCGCAAAUGCAGCAGACUUCGGGGACUUCGGCCUUCGRCCUGGACCUUGAUAGGUCAUUAAGCCACCCUCGUCGAGACAACGGUCGAUCCACCGAUAGGCCCCCUCCACUCCCUGCGGGCGGUCGGGCGCCUUGACAACACCGGCAUCR
rnacentral:misc_RNA from 1 species